AUGGCAGAGUCCAGAACAUUCGGAGGUCUCAAGCCCACCACCAAAAGGGAGCCCAGUCCAGCCUACUGGGCCCUACUAAACUCGGCGCGCAUUUCGCCGAGAUCAGAGGCCCACCACCAUCCAACGUCGCGGCCACUCCUCCCCCACCUCGCAUCCUCUUCUCCACUGAACUCUCUUUUUUUCUCCUUUUCUCCGGAGAGUCAAUGCCUCGGUCAAAGCUCAACGAGACCAUGUCUUCCUCCUCUCCGCUCGCCGCGCCUCCCUGCCCCAUCCGCCGCUAGCCACCGUACCCGCCCCUCUCCCAGCCCCCCGCAUUACCCUCUGCCGCGCCAGAUCUCGCAGUUUCCAUGGACCCGACUGCCUCCGCCUCCGCCUCCACCUCCGCCGCGGAGGAGGAGGAGCCGUCGUCGCUGUCGUCGCGGGACGUCGCGGCGAUGUCGGGCUCGCCGCCGCGCCGGGCGGCGAGGCACCGGCGCGCGCAGUCGGAGAUCCUCCUCGGCGCGGCGCUCCCGGACGACAUCGCCUUCGACGCCGACCUCGGCGUCGUCGGGGAGGUCGGCGGCGACGACUACGAGGAGGAGGACGACGAGGAGGAGGAUGAGGGGGCAGGCGGCAGCCGGAUGUUCGAGAUGUUGUUCCUCGAGGCCGGGGGCAAGCUCGAGUCCCCGGAGCCCGCGGCGCCGCUGCCCCCACCGCCCGCUCGGCCGCGGCACCAGCACAGCAUGUCGAUGGACGGCUCCACGUCCCUGGCGUCGUCCGCCGCCGGUGUGGCUGGGAGGAUGGGCGCUGACGCUAAGAAGGCAAUCUCUGAUGCCAAGCUUGCGGAGCUCGCCCUCGUUGACCCCAAGCGCGCCAAGAGGAUCUUGGCAAACCGCCAGUCAGCUGCUCGGUCAAAAGAAAGAAAGAUGCGAUACAUUGCAGAGCUCGAGAGAAAAGUACAGACUCUCCAGACAGAAGCAACUACACUAUCAGCACAGUUGUCCAUGUUACAGAGAGAUACUACUGGUUUAACAAGUGAAAAUAGUGAUUUGAAAAUACGGGUGCAAACAAUGGAGCAACAAGUCAGGCUGCAGGAUGCACUGAACGACAGGCUAAGAGAUGAGAUUCAAAAGCUGAAGGUUGCAACAGGUCAGGUUAACACCAGCUGUGGCAAAGUGGGAAACUUUGGCCUGUCCUCAUUUGGAAGCGCCAAUCCACAAGGUUACCAGCGCAGUCACAUACAAUCUCUUCUGGCAGCUCAGCAGCUGCAGCAGCUACAGAUCCACUCCCAGCACCAGCAGCAACAGAUGCAUCUGCAGCAGCAGCAGCAGCAUCUUAGCACGCUCCAGCAGCAGCUUCUGCAGGAGUCGUUGCCCUUGCCAGGGGAUCUGAAGAUGAAAGGAAUUGCUGCUGCAUCCCAUGCACAGAAUGCGGGCGCGUCUGAAAGCCACGCUCUGAGGAGUGAGCCGUGAUAUUGUGGCAUAGGUCCAUGUCGGUCGUCAGUAAUAAUAACAUGUUGUAUCUGAGUGAAGGGAUCAUGCAUAGGCUAGCACAGUAUCUAGGUAAAAUUUCGGACUAUCUAAGAACUUAGAUGCCAGCAGAUGCAGCCUGUAGAAUGUAGAUCCAAUUCAGUUGUAAGUCGUAGAACUGAUGAGGCAAACUGAGUAAUUCACCGGUGACAUGAAUAUGUUAACG